rfam:Thermoanaerobacter pseudethanolicus ATCC 33223, complete genome.
UCCAUCGUGAGGUGGAAUCUGAAGGAAGCUUAAGGCAAAAUCUCGGUCUGAUGAACAAGAACCAGAUAAGAGGCUGAAUUGGGAUGGAUGAGUUUGCGUAACAAAACGAAGUCCAACACUACCCGAAUCCCAUACAGUAAAUCUGGCAGAUAUAUGAGAUGAAAGUUAUCGUU